GAUGUCCAACGGUGUCCAACGAUGUCCAACGGUGUCCAACGAUGUCCAACGAUGUCCAACGGUGCAGUCCAGUGUAGAUCAUCCAAAAUUCUUUUCGCGGCAUUUGGCGAUCCACACUGAACCAAUGGUGUCCCACGUUGCAGUCCAGUGUAGAUCAUCCAAAAUUCUUUUCGCGGCUUUUGGAGAUCCACACUGGACCAAUGGAAUCCCACGGUGUCCCACGUUGCAGUCCAGUGUAGAUCAUCCAAAAUUCUUUUCGCGGCUUUUGGAGAUCCACACUGGACAAAUGGAAUCCCACGGUGUCCCACGUUGCAGUCCAGUCUAGAUCAUCCAAAAUUCUUCUCGCGUUUUUUGGUGAUCUACACUGGACCAACGGUGUUCUACGGUUUCCAGCGGCGUCCCACGUUGUCCAACGUUGUCCCACGUUGUCCCACGUUGUCCAACGUUUUCCAACGUUGUCCCACGUUGUCCAACGUUGUCCCACGUUGUCCAACGUUGUCCCACGGUGACCUACGGUGCAGCCCAGUCUGUAUCAUCCAAAAUUCUGUUCGCGGCAUUUGGAGAUACAAACCGGACUGCUGCGUAGUUCUUAGCUUGGUAU
rnacentral:misc_RNA from 1 species